rnacentral:lncRNA from 1 species
AUACUUCUAUGCUCAUUACUAAAGCACAAAAAAUAUGCCUUGCUCUUCACUGACCUUCCCAACACAGCCACCUGUAUCCUGCAGCAAAACAUAUUUAGACUUUCUCCACUGUGGCUCUAUCCACAGUAGUGGCAAAAACUGCAAAUGUAGUCAAGUCCUUCAAGAUAACUUCUUUUGGAAUUAUAAUGAGGUAGUUAAUGAUAUCCAGAAUUUCUAACAUCACCAUUCCUCUAUGCACCAUGAUCCAACUUCUCUCUGGAAUAUAUAUGGCUGGCAACCUCUCCUCCAUUUGUUGACACAGAUGCUCACUCUGAAUAUAGGCAUAUCAUCAUCAUGUGCAGCAACAGCACAGCUUUUGCCUUCUACAAUGUCCUGGUGUACCUAGGAGGGAUGGCUCUAGGGGCUGUAUUAUGGCUUUCUUGUCUAGGAGUCUGCCCUACAAAUUCAAUGAAGCCAAGUUUCUGUCUGGCUUUCAACCUCCCAUUAUUCAACAAUGCCUGGGUCUUCAUCUCCUCUCAUUACCACAACACCAAGGGAAAGGUCAUAGUGACUAUGGAACUCUUCUCUAUUUUGUUUUUCCAUGCAGAGAUUGUGUGCCUUAUCUUUGGUCCUAAGUGCUACAUCAUAUUAUAAAGGCCAGAAAGUGACUCA